rnacentral:rRNA from 1 species
GGCGAACGCUGGCGGCGUGCCUAAUACAUGCAAGUUGAGCGCUGAAGGUUGGUACUUGUACCGACUGGAUGAGCAGCGAACGGGUGAGUAACGCGUGGGGAAUCUGCCUUUGAGCGGGGGACAACAUUUGGAAACGAAUGCUAAUACCGCAUAAAAACUUUAAACACAAGUUUUAAGUUUGAAAGAUGCAAUUGCAUCACUCAAAGAUGAUCCCGCGUUGUAUUAGCUAGUUGGUGAGGUAAAGGCUCACCAAGGCGAUGAUACAUAGCCGACCUGAGAGGGUGAUCGGCCACAUUGGGACUGAGACACGGCCCAAACCCCUACGGGAGGCAGCAGUAGGGAAUCUUCGGCAAUGGACGAAAGUCUGACCGAGCAACGCCGCGUGAGGGAAGAAGGUUUUCGGAUCGUAAAACUCUGUUGGUAGAGAAGAACGUUGGUGAGAGUGGAAAGCUCAUCAAGUGACGGUAACUACCCAGAAAGGGACGGCUAACUACGUG